CAAUGGACUUGGAGUCUGCUUCGCAUCCUGGAACUUCUCAGGACUUGAAUGCUGUUGAAAGGGUAAUUUAAAUAUUUUCUAUUAAAUUUGAGUUUAGCUGAACUGGCAAACGCCCAUAAAAAUGUUUAUUUCAUAAACAUAGAAUAUUUAUGAACUAGACAUGGACUGUUAUAGACAGUAUAGAAAUUCAAGUUUUGCAGUUAAUCAUUUAUAAUUAUUUUAUUAAUUUAAUAUUUGUAUUUUAUUUUAACAGAAACAGCAGUUAAUACAACGGCUUCUUUUAGAAAAUGCCUCGAACAAACCACGCUUCCAAGAGACACCUGAGACAGUCGGUUCCUGAAGAAGUUACUACCAGCACUGAUGAAGAGGGCAGAAUUGGGAACACAGAUUGGUCACCUGUGGAAACUGCAUUACGAUGCCAACUGUGGAGGAGUCUAUUUGUUGUAAAGAAAUUGAUAAUGUAUGCCAGCUUGAAGAUGCACUUUGUAUUAUCCAUAAUACUUUCUUCAAGCGAUUCUGUCAGGAGGAUUUUGCCCACUUCCUCUACUGCUUCCUUGGGGUUGAGUCCCAGAGGCCUUCUGAAGCGUUAUUUAACAGGUAGGUAUCUUUUCUUACUACUAGGGAAUUGUGAAAUCCUUACGCUUGAAAAAUGAUUAUUUCAUAUGUACUCUUUAUGACUUAAUCAUUUAGAUUGUGUUUGUAUUUCACUAAAAUUCUAAAUAAGAGAUAUACAGAGACAUAUUUUGAUAUACUUUUUCUCUGUAUAUCUGCUUGGGUUGGUAAUUCAGUAAAAUUACAACACAUUUUUAAUUAGUAUUUCAGAAAGAUUCUAUCUUAAUGAAAUAUUUUUUUUUUAAAGUGAUUGACAGUGUAUAGUAGCCCCUCAUUGCUUUAUAGACCUAAUUGCUGUAGUCUCGCAAAUGCGCUAUUACAGCAUUUUGGUCGACUUUUAGUGCUGAAGUGCCAGAAGUUGAUGAAGAGCAUACUGAGUAAAAUGUCAGUGACCACAAGGUUCAGGUAAGUAAACUCACCCCCCUCUUGCAUUUAAAAAAAAAAAAUUAAAAAUGCUAAGAUAACAUUUGUAAUAUUUAGUAUUACUAUUUUACAUGCUACAACUGUGUCAUAGCCAGACAUCUUUAUUUAAAAAAACUGACCCAAGUUUCUCUAUGUAGGCAAAUGAGGAAGACGGCAUAUCAAGGUUUUACCACCUGGAUUCAUGGGUACCUUGGACGAAAAAAAUCGAAGGCCCAUUUCACGAUGUGCAGUUCAUGACAUUCGUACUAAUUUAACAGACCCAGAAAAUUCAUGUCGGAUUCAUUAGACUCCAAGAUUAUAAUGCCAUCGAUAUGGCUGAUGGCUUUUGAAAACAUUUUUUAACCCCCUUAAGGACCGGCCUGUUUUUGCGAUGUACGUUAAGGACCAGGGCAGUUUUGACACUUUUGUGGUGUUUAGCUAAAAUUUUCCUCUCAUAUUUACAGUUCUCAUACAAGUUAUAUAUUUUUUUUUUUU